AGAGUUUGAUCAUGGCUCAGGACGAACGCUGGCGGCGUGCCUAACACAUGCAAGUCGAGCGAUGAAACCCUUCGGGGUGGAUUAGCGGCGGACGGGUGAGUAACACGUGGGUAACCUGCCUCAAAGAGGGGGAUAGCCUCCCGAAAGGGAGAUUAAUACCGCAUAAGAUUGUAGUGCCGCAUGGCAUAGCAAUUAAAGGA
rnacentral:rRNA from 1 species